CUGACUGAUAAACAGCACAAGCAAGAGUAGCCCAGAGACCGGCUGUACCACACACUUCUGACUGUGCACCCAUCGGACAGCAGACGCUCUCUGCAGUGCUUCUUGACAGCUCCACAGCGAGUGCUGAAAGGAUAAUGAAACAGAGCUCAGAGAGCUGAAGCUGGUAGAGUAUGAAGUAGCUCUGGGGUUUUUAGUAGUUCCUCUGAGCACUGCACAGUCUGACCGUGGGAUGGAUUUGCUGGAAUGGCCACUCCUGAGAAGACUGGCAACUGCCUUGAAUAUUUUCCAGGACUUCAGGUUGACCUUAUGACCCUUUCC